AGAGUUUGAUCCUGGCUCAGGACGAACGCUGGCGGCGGGCUUAACACAUGCAAGUCGAACGAGGUCCAUCUUGUAGCAAUACAAGUGAAGACCUAGUGGCGAACGGGUGAGGAACACGUGAGAAAUUUGCCCCGAACUUUGGGAUAACAGUUGGAAACGACUGCUAAUACCGAAUGCCGUUACGAAGUGGCAUCACUUUGUAACGAAAGAAUUUCGGUUCGGGAGAAUCUCGCGGCCUAUCAGCUUGUUGGUGAGGUAACGGCUCACCAAGGCUACGACGGGUAGCUGGUCUGAGAGGAUGAUCAGCCACACUGGGACUGAGACACGGCCCAGACUCCUACGGGAGGCAGCAGUGGGAAUCUUGUGCAAUGGACGAAAGUCUGACACAGCCACGCCGCGUGCGGGAAGAAGGCCUUCGGGUUGUAAACCGCUUUCAGCAGGAACGAAAAUGACGGUACCUGCAGAAGAAGGAGCGGCCAACUACGUGCCAGCAGCCGCGGUGACACGUAGGCUCCAAGCGUUGUCCGGAUUUAUUGGGCGUAAAGAGCUCGUAGGCGGUUCAGCAAGUCGGGUGUGAAAACUCUGGGCUCAACCCAGAGCCUGCACCCGAAACUGCUGUGACUAGAGUUCGGUAGGGGAGUGGGGAAUUCCUAGUGUAGCGGUGAAAUGCGCAGAUAUUAGGAGGAACACCGAUGGCGAAGGCACCACUCUGGGCCGAAACUGACGCUG
rnacentral:rRNA from 1 species